GAAAGCAGGGGGAUAUUUCUCCUCUCACCCUGUUAUCUCUACAGCCACUGCCCGCUGUAAGAAUCCAUCUCUGACUGGCUUGUGGUGUCAUCUGCGGAGGAGAAGACAGACAUGAUGAGCUGCAGAACAGGCCUGACUUGAGACGACCCCAGGCUUCCUCAGAGCAGGGUCCAGCUCUCUAGUCUGCACACAGAUACAGCCUGAGGAGAAGUCCACACUGCCAGUAUGGUUCAUCUGCCCACUAGCUCUGUCUGAGAGAGGGGGGAGAGAAAAAGAUGGUGGAUUCAGCAAAAGAGAGCAACAUAUAAAAUAUUAUGGGAGAAAUAGAGUGAAAGACCAAGACAGAGAGAUGGGGGAAGAGGAGACAAGGGAGCGUAAGAAAGAAAAAAGGACUGGCUUGCCUGAAGCUGAGUGAGCUUAUUAUAAUGUAAAUGUAAUCUGAAGUGUGUGUGUUUCUCUCCAAACCUGGGGCUUGUUGGAUCUGUCUCUCCACGGCUGCACAGAACCUCUCUGCCUCUGCCUCAUCUGCAAAGUUCAGGCCCGCCUGGCAGUCCUAAACAAACACACACAGCCAGUGUGGGAGGUCAUCAAGGACCAGAACAAUAACCUUUUCAGAGCUACGCUAUUAGCCAAAGCCUUUUUAGAGCCAGUGCUAUUAUGAGCAUGUUACAGAACCAACCAACCAAUGAACUCACAUAACCCUGUUGUAGGCCUAACCCUAACCCUAGCCCCACACCCUGGCUCAACCCUAACCCUAGCCAUUAACCUAACCCUAACCCCAACCCUAGCAUAACCCUAACCCUAGUCUCAACACUAACCCUAUCACUAGCUUAAUAUCCACACACUGGCUCAACCGUAGCCUCAGCCCUAACCCUAGCUUUGUGUCCAUACCAGGCUCAACCCUAACCCUAAACAUUAACCUAACCCCAAACCUAGGAUAACCCUAACCCUAGCAUAACCAUAACCCUCAACCCUAACCCUAUCACUAGCUUAAUAUCCACACACCGGCUCAACCCUAGCUUCAUGUCUACCCCAGGCUCAGCCCUAACCCUAAACAUUACCCUAACCCUAGCUUCAUGUCCACAUCCUGUUUCAACUCUAAUCCUCAGCCACCACAACCCUAACCCAUUUAAUAGCAGAAUAUUAAUUAAUUUAAUAUGCCCUUAAAAGCUGUUCCAUGAGCAGAUUUGUUGCUUUGGUCAUCAGGAUUGAAACAUAAUUAUAGAGUUCUGUUUGAUAAGGGAAUAACUUAACUCUUAAGAUGUGAUUUUAGGGCAUGUCACUUACAUUUGCAGGGAAGGUGUGGAAGUAGGGGUGGGGUGCAGAGUAUCGAAAAGGAACAUACAGCUCCUGUUCCCACAGCAACUUAGAUCUCUGGUAGGUUAAAGGAGAAAGAGAGUAGAUUAGAUAAUUAAGUGUACAUAAAGUUGAUUGGAGGUACACAAGACACACUCCCCACCUCUCAUCAUGAGCCGCCGGGCUGUUACCAAGAACCACAUACCGGAUUUUUAACAGGGCCGUUAGCAAAUGAGUUUUCAUAGUAUUUUCUGCAGCUACCUAGCUCAAAUUCUAGAUGUCGGAUUAAUACGAGACCAUAGCAUCCAUAAAGUGACCAUUAGACUUUUAAAAAAUUGUAUUGACUAAAUUUGUAGGUGCAUUUAUCUCACAAGUACAUUUCCGUCCAUUAAGAAACAACAUUGUGCUACCUUUCUGUAGCAUUUCUGACAAUGCUAACCAUUUUUUUUUAGCCAAAGCUCAAAGUUUUAACACUGUGUCGGUUGCUUGGCAACAACACAGUUGCUUGCAUCAGGCUGCCAGUCAUAAUAAUUAUAUAUGCAAACACAUCUAGGCUACUGUAGAUAGCUAGCUAUAUGGUGGUAUUCAAGCUGAGGUCAAUCAAUAAAUACAAGCAGAUAUUUUGAUUAGCUACGUAGCUAUCUAGCUAACGUUACCUAGCUAGCUUGUACAAAGUCCAGCAGCUAGCCUCUGUAGCUAGCUAACACCAGUCAGCUGAAAGCUAGCGAAGCAAACAGGCAAGUAAAAGACGCUUGCCAAUGAAUGUGGUUUUAUUUUGAUUAGUUAUGUAGCUAUACCAGUCAGAUUAGAACAUUGGCAUGCUCGCUAACCAACAAGUGAGGAAAGCUACUUAGCUAUAUUGUUUUUCAAGUAAGGUUUUCAUAUAAUGUUGAAGUUAUAUCAUGUGCAAACUGCUUAGCUAGACACUUGUGUGUAAUUGUAGAACAAACAAAUAUGCACAAAUAAGCUAGCAAACGUCCUUGGCUGCUAUGAUAACGUAAGACUGUAAUGUUAGCUAACGUGUAUAGCCAGUUCAUGCGCCACAAUAUCAUACUUUCUUACACAAAACAUAGCUAGGUAAGGUUAGUUACGUUCAGUUUAAAACCACCAAACUUUGAGAAACUGCCUUGCUAUUCACAUUAAUUUGCAUUGCACAGACCAAGUUACAGUAAGGAUCGUACCCUUUUUUCAAUUUUCGCCUAAAAUGACAUACCCAAAUCUAACUGCCUGUAGCUCAGGUCCUGAAGCAAGGAUAUGCAUAUUCUUGAUACAAUUUGAAAGGAAACACUUUGAAGUUUGUGGAAAUGUGAAUGAAUGUAGGAGAAUAUAACACAUGACAUCUGGUAAAAGAUAAUACAAAGAAAAAUCAUUCAUUUUCUAUUUCUAUAAUUUUUUCAGAAUCUUUGAAAUGCAAGAGAAAGGCAAUACUUUCAGAAUGGAGUCUAGGUGUAUUUAGAUUUUUGCCACCAAAUGGCAGCAGUGUGUGUGCAAUGUUUCAGACUGAUCCAGUGAAGAAUUACAUUACUGCACAAUAUUUUGUAUCUAGUCUGCCAGGAGUUUGCCCAAAUGUGCCGAAUUGGUCAAUUGAUACAUUUUCAAGUACAUAACAAUAGAGAACAUACAAAAAUGCUAUGGUAAUAAAAAAAUGUAAGUUUA